GAUGAACGCUGGCGGCGUGCCUAAUACAUGCAAGUCGAGCGAACAGACGAGGAGCUUGCUCCUCUGACGUUAGCGGCGGACGGGUGAGUAACACGUGGAUAACCUACCUAUAAGACUGGGAUAACUUCGGGAAACCGGAGCUAAUACCGGAUAAUAUAUUGAACCGCAUGGUUCAAUAGUGAAAGACGGUUUUGCUGUCACUUAUAGAUGGAUCCGCGCCGCAUUAGCUAGUUGGUAAGGUAACGGCUUACCAAGGCAACGAUGCGUAGCCGACCUGAGAGGGUGAGCGGCCACACUGGAACUGAGACACGGUCCAGACUCCUACGGGAGGCAGCAGUAGGGAAUCUUGCGCAAUGGGCGAAAGCCUGACGGAGCAACGCCGCGUGAGUGAUGAAGGUCUUCGGAUCGUAAAACUCUGUUAUUAGGGAAGAACAAAUGGGUAAGUAACUAUGCACGUCUUGACGGUACCUAAUCAGAAAGCCACGGCUAACUACGUG
rnacentral:rRNA from 1 species